rnacentral:rRNA from 1 species
AUUGAACGCUGGCGGCAUGCCUUACACAUGCAAGUCGAGCGAAUGGAUUAAGAGCUUGCUCUUAUGAAGUUAGCGGCGGACGGGUGAGUAACACGUGGGUAACCUGCCCAUAAGACUGGGAUAACUCCGGGAAACCGGGGCUAAUACCGGAUAACAUUUUGAACCGCAUGGUUCGAAAUUGAAAGGCGGCUUCGGCUGUCACUUAUGGAUGGACCCGCGUCGCAUUAGCUAGUUGGUGAGGUAACGGCUCACCAAGGCAACGAUGCGUAGCCGACCUGAGAGGGUGAUCGGCCACACGGGGACUGAGACACGGCCCAGACUCCUACGGGAGGCAGCAGUAGGGAAUCUUCCGCAAUGGACGAAAGUCUGACGGAGCAACGCCGCGUGAGUGAUGAAGGCUUUCGGGUCGUAAAACUCUGUUGUUAGGGAAGAACAAGUGCUAGUUGAAUAAGCUGGCACCUUGACGGUACCUAACCAGAAAGCCACGGCUAACUACGUGCCAGCCGCCGCGGUAA